rnacentral:rRNA from 1 species
GACGAACCGUGCGAACGUUAUUCGGAAUCAUUGGGCUUAAAGGGCGCGUAGGCGGCGGCGUAAGUUGGAAGUGAAAUCCCAUCGGCUCAACCGUGGAAUAGCUUUCAGUACUGCGUCGCUCGAGUGAGAUAGGGGUCCGUGGAACUACCGGUGGAGCGGUGAAAUGUGUUGAUAUCGGUGGGAACGCCAGUGGCGAAAGCGACGGACUGGACCUUUACUGACGCUGAGGCGCGAAAGCUAGGGGAGCAAACGGG